rnacentral:rRNA from 1 species
GAUGAACGCUGGCGGCGUGCCUAAUACAUGCAAGUCGAGCGAACGGACGAGAAGCUUGCUUCUCUGAUGUUAGCGGCGGACGGGUGAGUAACACGUGGAUAACCUACCUAUAAGACUGGGAUAACUUCGGGAAACCGGAGCUAAUACCGGAUAAUAUUUUGAACCGCAUGGUUCAAAAGUGAAAGACGGUCUUGCUGUCACUUAUAGAUGGAUCCGCGCUGCAUUAGCUAGUUGGUAAGGUAACGGCUUACCAAGGCAACGAUGCAUAGCCGACCUGAGAGGGUGAUUGGGCACAACGGAACUGAGACACGGUCCAGAAUCCUACGGGAGGCAGCAGUAGGGAAUCUUCCGCAAUGGGCGAAAGCCUGACGGAGCAACGCCGCGUGAGUGAUGAAGGUCUUCGGAUCGUAAAACUCUGUUAUUAGGGAAGAACAUAUGUGUAAGUAACUGUGCACAUCUUGACGGUACCUAAUCAGAAAGCCACGGCUAACUACGUG